rnacentral:rRNA from 1 species
UCCUACGGGGGGCAGCAGUGGGGAAUACUGCACAAUGGGGGAAACCCUGAUGCAGCAACGCCGCGUGAAGGAAGACGGUUUUCGGAUUGUAAACUUCUGUUCUUAGUGAAGAAGAAUGACGGUAGCUAAGGAGCAAGCAUCGGCUAACUCCGUGCCAGCAGCCGCGGUAAUACGGAGGAUGCGAGCGUUAUCCGGAUUUAUUGGGUUUAAAGGGUGCGUAGGCGGUCCGUUAAGUCAGCGGUAAAAUUUCGGGGCUCAACCCCGUCGUGCCGUUGAAACUGGCGUUCUUGAGUGAGCGAGAAGUA